rnacentral:rRNA from 1 species
GAUGAACGCUAGCGGGAGGCCUAACACAUGCAAGCCGAGCGGUAUUUGUCCUUCGGGACAGAGAGAGCGGCGUACGGGUGCGGAACACGUGUGCAACCUGCCUUUAUCUGGGGGAUAGCCUUUCGAAAGGAAGAUUAAUACCCCAUAAUAUAUCGAAUGGCAUCAUUCGAUAUUGAAAACUCCGGUGGAUAGAGAUGGGCACGCGCAAGAUUAGAUAGUUGGUGAGGUAACGGCUCACCAAGUCAGUGAUCUUUAGGGGGCCUGAGAGGGUGAUCCCCCACACUGGUACUGAGACACGGACCAGACUCCUACGGGAGGCAGCAGUGAGGAAUAUUGGACAAUGGGUGAGAGCCUGAUCCAGCCAUCCCGCGUGAAGGACUAAGGCCCUAUGGGUGGUAAACUUCUUUUAUACUGGGAUAAACCUACUUACGUGUAAGUAGCUGAAGGUACAGUAUGAAUAAGCACCGGCUAACUCCGUG